CUACUUCCCUGGCAGGGGAGAUGCCAUGGCCACGAGGGUGGUUUUCCCAGAGCGAGGCUUAUCCGUUGCCCCGUGGAUGUGCUGACCCCUGCGAUGUCCCCACAUUUGGGAAACGGGGCUGCAUAAUUUGCAGUAGAGGGGACUGCGUUCGCGCUCUCCCCUG